rfam:Salmo salar isolate Sally breed double haploid chromosome ssa13, whole genome shotgun sequence.
CAUACAUUUAUUUGUAAGUCGCUCUGGAUAAGAGCGUCUGCUAAAUGACGUAAA